AGAGUUUGAUCCUGGCUCAGAACGAACGCUGGCGGCAGGCCUAACACAUGCAAGUCGAACGGAUCCUUCGGGAUUAGUGGCAGACGGGUGAGUAACGCGUGGGAAGCUACCUUGUGGUAGGGAACAACAGUUGGAAACGACUGCUAAUACCCUAUGAGCCCUAUGGGGGAAAGAUUUAUCGCCAUGAGAUGUGCCCGCGUUAGAUUAGCUAGUUGGUAAGGUAAUGGCUUACCAAGGCGACGAUCUAUAGCUGGUCUGAGAGGAUGAUCAGCCACACUGGGACUGAGACACGGCCCAGACUCCUACGGGAGGCAGCAGUGGGGAAUAUUGGACAAUGGGGGCAACCCUGAUCCAGCCAUGCCGCGUGUAUGAUGACGGCCUUAGGGUUGUAAAGCACUUUCAGCAGUGAAGAUAAUGA
rnacentral:rRNA from 1 species